rnacentral:rRNA from 1 species
CAGCAGCCGCGGUAAUACCGGCGGCCCGAGUGGUGGCCGCUAUUAUUGGGCCUAAAGCGUCCGUAGCCGGGUUGGUUAGUCUCCCGGGAAAUCUGGCCGCUUAACGGUCAGAAUUCCGGGAGAUACUGCCAGCCUAGGGACCGGGAGAGGCCGAGGGUAUUCCCGGAGUAGGGGUGAAAUCCUAUAAUCCCGGGAGGUCCACCUGUGGCGAAGGCGCUCGGCUGGAACGGGUCCGACGGUGAGGGACGAAGGCCAGGGGAGCAAACCGGAUUAGAUACCCGGGUAGUCCUGGCUGUAAACGAUGCGGACUUUGUGUCGGACAAGCUAUGAGCUUGUCCGGUGCCGGAGGGAAACCGUUAAGUCCGCCGCCUGGGGAGUACGGCCGCAAGGCUGAAACUUAAAGGAAUUGGCGGG